rnacentral:rRNA from 1 species
UACGGAGGGUGCAAGCGUUAUCCGGAUUCACUGGGUUUAAAGGGUGCGUAGGUGGGCUGGUAAGUCAGUGGUGAAAUCUCCGGGCUUAACUCGGAAACUGCCGUUGAUACUAUUUGUCUUGAAUAUUCUGGAGGUAAGCGGAAUAUGUCAUGUAGCGGUGAAAUGCUUAGAUAUGACAUAGAACACCGAUAGCGAAGGCAGCUUACUACAGAAUGAUUGACGCUGAGGCACGAAAGCGUGGGGAGCAAACAGG